UGGUACAGCUGGGAUUGUAGUCCUGCAGCCUUGUGGCCGAAGGGCUGGGAGUGGCUAUGAGAUUACAUCUCCCAGCAAGCUCAGCGAAGCGCGCGCAGCUCCGCCCCUUCCUCCAGUGAUGCGCACAGUCCCUGAUCCCUGUGCACGCUGGGAUUGUAGUCCUGCAGCCCUGUGAUCACUGGCUGGUAACAAAAAAUUUCAGCUCACGGAAUGGUAGGCGAAGGCCCCCAACCUCAACCUCGCUCCUCCAUGCCUUCACAGCAGUUCUGCCAUGCGGAGGGGGAGCCUGCCUGUUCUUUAACCUCUCCUACCUGAUGGGAGAGGGCAAGCUACCAGGGCAGCUUGUCUCACCAAGUAAUUGUGAUCCCGUAUCCCCCAACGUGCUGGCUUCUUGACUUCCAAAGUUGUGGCAAGGUAAGAAGAACUACAGAGGAAGAACCUACUGCAGACAUUUCCCAGGAGACUUUAACUGAAGCAUCAGCAAAACUGAAAGGUAAUGGGAGAAUCUUGUGCCUCUGAGGAUGUCUUUCCCAUGGAUCCCUGCUCAGUUGCCUUUUACAGGUCCCCUGAUUUGCCUGAACUCCUGACCUCAGGUGAUCCAUCUGCCUUGGCCUCCCAAAGUGCUGGAAUUACAGGCAUGAGCCACCAUGCCUGGCCUGUUCCGUGCAUU